UUUCAUGACUACAAAUAAAGUUUUAUUGGAACACAGCUACACUCAUUCAUUUACAUCUUGUCUGUGGCUGGUUUUCUGCUACAAUUGCAGAGUUGAGUGAUUGGUCUCAAUAAAGUCCAUGUGAUCUGCAAAGCAUAUACAUGUAUUCCACAUCCCUUUUCAAUAAACAUUCACUGACUUCCAGUUUCCACCCCAGGCCCUGGAGUCAGGCUAUCUGGGUUUGGAUUUAGUUCUACUAAUAAAUAACUAUGCAGGGACUUUCUUAACUCUUCUAACCCACAAUUCCCUCAUUUGUAAGGUGGGGACAACAAGAGUUAUAUUCAUUUCGUUAAACUGCAGAGGGAGCAAAUAAGCUGAGUACAUACUUUUCUACAGACAUUAGUUAUUGUUCUUGCUUUACAGCUGGUGACUGUGAACAACAAAAUUGUCUGGCAUUAAAUAAAAAGUCUAGAACAAGUGUUUGUUUUCUUCACCACAAAGUGAUAGGAAGAAAAAUCUGCUGAACCUGAGGCCCAGCUGUACAAUAGAGUUCUAGUGUCCCUAUGACCAAGGAAUGACUGGAUGAAACUUCACUCUUUACACAAAUAAAGGUCAAGUUUAAGCAAAUAACUUCCUUUUUAACUUCAUACUCCAGAGGCCUCAGCAAACAAGUAGUGUCCUUUGACUGAUUGUGUUCUGAAGAAAGUUAAGGUUUUCAAUUUUUUUCAUGUUCUUGUGUGGUAAUUUUCCACAUAAACAGAUGAUUUUCUAUAGUUAUAAUUACAUCGUGGCAUAUGUAGUUUUAUUGUUUUCAUUUAAAUUUACAUCAAAAUUUUUCCAUAUUGUUUCUUCAUUUUCAUCAUCUCUUGUUUUACACAGUAUUAUGAAGACUGGUUUUUGUUUGCUUUUGCAGCACUGGGAAUUGAACCCAAGGCCUUCAUACUAAGCUACAACCCUAGCUCUUUUUAAUUUUUUAUUUUGAGACAGGGCCUUGCUAAGUCACUGAGCUUGUAGCCUGGCCUCAAACUUGUGAUCCUCCUGCCUCAGGUUCCCAAAUUGUUGGGCUUACAGACAUGCACCACCAUGCCCAGCAUAUGACAUUUUUUUUAAAUGUAGUAAUUUUUCAAGACAUAUAAAAAUAAAGAUUUUUUAAAAAUCAGGUAGCUUUGACUCUAUCUCACCUGAGUACAGAUGGAGUUUUCAACAAACUAAUGACUACUCAUUGCUCCUUUCUGCAUCCUCGCCCUCUUAGUGGUGUCAGCUAAUUCAGACAUUUGCUGUGAAGCACAUUCUAGAAACAAAACUGAGUGUUUGUGUGAAUGUGAUGACCAAGUAUGAACCUUCCCAUGACUGGGACAAGGAGAAGAACAGUAUUAGAACUAUGACACCAUCUCCUUCUCCAUCAGAAAAGCUAGAGCUGGGAGGACAGGUUUCUCUCCCCCAACCCCACCAGCUCCUGAGCCCCCAGUUCCAACUUCCUGUACCACCUGGUUCAGGGUACCACCUGUUCCUGGGGUACAGGGAAUCACCCUGCUCCAAAGCAUUUGCCUUAGAAACCCACCAAAUACUGCCUCGAACCAACUGCAAUCCAUUUAUCUUUAUCCUUCUCUUUUGUAUUCCAGCUGUCCACCCCUCAUUCAUAUGUAGGCUCAAAGAUCAAUCCUUCUCUCUCCUUAACACAAUCCAUAGGUUCUGGUGGAGAAGUUGAGUUAGCCAGAUUCAGCAAACUAAACCUGGUUGGUGAUCGCAGGGGAAAGGGCGGCUCUGGCCAGCUGUUUUCCAAUCUUGCCAUUCCAUUCUUAGGCACGGUCAGGGAUUCUCAGAGUAUUCAGGUCAAACAGCCUCCAAAUUCAUUUAUGCUCAUUCUUCUUGCCCAGGCUCCUUUGGGCAGGUCCUGGGAGCGCUCUCUCUGCAGAAUGUGCCUGUGCUUUGUGUGGCUUCGGAAUGUGGGGGUCUCUGGUUGUGGAAUAUGCAUAAUGCUUCUUCUGAGAAGAUAUCAGGGGAAAAGGAAAAGGAUAUUUUUGGGCUGUCAUUCCACCUACCCAUCUGGUGGACUCUAAUUUUAAGCCCCAUUUUAAUAAAAAGUCUCUGAAUAGCUGUGCUUUUAUGACUCAAAUGGACUUUCAAACUGGGAUUCUACCAUCUGAUAGAGCAAAGUGGGUGGACUCUAGUCUUCAGAGAGAAAAGAACAAACAGACUGAAAGCUGUAGUUAAAAUUUUCCACUUUCCUCCAACUCUCUUAAAGCAAUUAUUCUCAGACUUGCAAUCUCCAGUCCCUUGGAAAUCUCCAGACUUGAAAUCUUCCAAACCUCAAGUUUUACAAAGAGCCUACAAUGAAGGGUGGGGAAAGGCACUUGAGAUUGCUUUAGGAAAAACUAAGCAGGACUGGCCAAGAGUAUCAGAGCAGAAAGUCCAAUGGUCCCAGCAAAAGGCUGCAGCUACUAAAGGGGCCCAGGAGCAGUUGCUGAGAAAAGAGUGAAGGUGUGAAGGCGUGUGCACAUCUGUAAUCCAGCACACUGGGAGGCUGAGGCGGGAGGCUGGCACGUUUGAGCCCAGCAUGGGCAAUUUAGUGACAUAGCAAGACCCAGUCUCAAAAUAAAACCUAAAAUGGGCUGGGAAUAUAGGUCGGUGUGCAAGGCCCUGGGUUCAAUCUCCAGUCUUUGCGCUUGUGCAGCAGGCAGAGAAACCACUGAGCUAAAUCCCCGGCCCAAGAGUGGGUUUUUUUCGGGGUGUGAUGGUGGGGUUCCUUCUGGAUGUCAAGUCCGGAAUGAUGGAAGCAUUUCUUUAGUGACAUGUUGCACACGGACACCUACUGGUUGACAGAGAGGACAGUAACUCCUGGGACCUAAAUCCAAAAAGGAAAAGCAGGAUUAAAACAAAAAACAAACCCCAAAACUUCAGGCCUGGCUUCACAAGUCAACAAUGUUCAAUGCACUGAAUUCUCUAGAUUACACUUUACUAUCUUUCACUACAGGUUUAUCUUCCUUUCAUGUUUCAAAUAGGCUAGGAAACCUCCACAGAGCGCAGGGACAAUACAGCUUUUGCAGGAAGUGUGUUCCCAGACGGUGAACGUAGGAAGCCGGCCAUCUACUCCGCGAUUUGACUUUUCAGUGUGAGGUAGCAAAGCGCCCUCGGCUCCUACCCCAUCUCCAUUUUCCAAGCCUCCCUCUCAGCCAUAUCCAACGCGCGGUCCCCGCUUUUUGGAACCUCGUCAAUAAAAGAUCUAAGAACAGACAGGGAUGAGCCUGGGCCUCUUCAGCCGAGCCGCCUUCUGGCUAUUUAGGAAGGGACAAAGUCUUGGGGCAGACUUGGGCAAGGAUCCCGGUGUUUUAGGACGCAGGGCUUCCAAUUAGGACUUUGUAUCUCAUUUCCCCAGUGAGGGUCCUAGGGAAUGACCUGACCCUUCGGGAGCGCCGUCUCCCCAGCACUAGUUCUGUUCUGCAGGAGACCGAGGUUCUGUCUGGGCGGUAGAGCCUGCGGCCCCAGGAGAUCCCGAGCGCCCGGGCCCAGCUCUCCUCUCCCAGGGUCUGUGAAGGCUCUGGGGCGCCCGCGGUAGCGCGCCGCUCAUUCAUUCCAGAUAUUCACUGGGCGCCCGCUGAGUGCAAGGAGCUGCGGCGCCCAGCGGCGAGAAACAGCGCUCGCCUCGUUCCUGAUCCUUUCUCGCAGCCCGAGCACCCCGACCGCCGCCGCCCGGCUGUGCCCAGCGCCUGCCUGCAGCGCGGCCUCGGGGCGCCGCGGAGGGGAAGGGGCCCCGCGGGUUGCAGCUCGUUCCCAGUCCGCCCGCCGCCUGGAAGCGGCUCCCGGCGAGCGCGCACGGCCGCGGCGCGCGGAGUCGGCAGAGCGGG
ensembl:lncRNA